UUCCCAGGCUAGGGGUCCAAUCGGAGCUGGAGCUGCUGGCUUACACCACAGCCACAGCAACAUGGGAUCCGAGCCAUGUCUGCAACCUACACCACAGCUCACGGCAACGCCGGAUCCUUAACCCACUGAGGGUGAGGCCAGGGAUUGAACCCACAACCUCAUGGUUCCUAGUCAGAUUCGUUGACUACUGCGCCACAACGGGAACUCCUGUUUUCUUUUUUUUUGACCAAGGAAAGAAUGCAUUACACAUUCUUCUUUUUUUUUUUUAUGCAUUACACAUUGUUCUGCACCUCAAUUUUUUUUCACUCAACACUGUAUCAAGGCAUUUGUUCCAGAUCAUCACACUCUUCCACUGCUCUGUACUAGUCCAGUGCAAGCAGGUCCCACCAUUCAUGUCAGUCCUAACUUGUCGACAUCUUGUCUGUUCCCAGUUGUCUGUGGCCAUGAAAGUUUCUCUCUAUGGAUCUUUAUACAUUUACAGGGGCCUAGAUUCCUUGAAGAGUAAUUUCUGAGGCAAAGGGAAUAUGUGCUUUGCAUUUUGAUAGAUAUCAUCCAAUAGUCCUCUAAAAAAUUUUACCAGGUUGGACCAAAAGCCACUUUUAGGUCUUUGCCCAUCUAAAGGAUAAAAAAUAGUAUCUCACUGUAAUUUACGUUUUUAAUUAUGAGAGAUGUUAGCAUCUUUUUCCUGUUUCCAAAUCAUUGUAUUUCUUUUUCCCUUACCCCUCUUCAACAGUGUUUAAGGAGCCCUUGUACAGCUACAUAGGCAAAGUAUCUGGGACCUGUGGAAUUUUCAAGAGCCUGUAAAAAAAGUUUGAGACCUGGGGUGGGGGUGGGGGAUGUAUUGGCUUGCAAAUAUUUUUAAAAGACUAAAAAACUGAACCCAAAAUGGUAUAAUGUAAUCUCAACCAAACAUAAUCUUACGGCAAGCUCAUUAACUGGAAACUGGAAUUCAUGAACAUUUCAUUACAUUUUAAAGCAAUCUGUUGGUUUAGAUGUUCUCAUUUCAAAAAAAUCCCAAGAAUGCAUGAUGCUUUUCAAGAAAUUCAAGUCCAUUUUCAUUUAAACGCAUUAACUGUAGUUGAAUAAUUUCACAAUCAUAAUUAAUUGAAAACGCUUUUUAAAAAUUUACCAUAACGUGGGAGUUCCCUGGUGACUGGUUCAGUGGUUAAAGGAUCCAGCGUUGUCACUGCUGUGGUCAGGUCACUGCUGAGGGGCAGAUUCAAUCCCUGGCCUGCCCUGGAACUUCCGCAUGCCGCAGGUGCAGCCAAAAAAAAUAAAGAAUCAUAAAAUGACAUUCAAUGUGGAAUUAGAGUGCAUUUUAAUAUGUUUCAUGUGAUUUGGACGGGGCCUCCCAAAUUAAGUGCAUCAAGGGCCAAAAGUGGUUUUAUUUAAAAGGCCUGUAAACCUCCGAACCAGACAGACAAGGUCUCAGUCUCAGGAAAUUUCUAAUCAAAGAACACGCUGACCUUCUCAGCAAAAGUAGGAACGAGUAAAGUGGAUCAGAUCUGAGUCUGGAGCUCGCUGAGGACCCCUGGCUUCUCUCCCAACCCCCUGACUGUUACAGAGAAAAAACUCUCUCCUGUGUCACACCCAUCCCCAGCCUGGUGACUCAGCGCUGGACAUGGGGAUUUUGGAAAGCUCAGUGGGGUGAUGGAGCGGGGAAAGACGGGGUAGAGGUGAUGCUCUCUCUGCUCUCAGGACCAGCCUGGGGUGGGGGUAGGGAGCAGCAGGACAGACAUAGGGAGGGAAAGAGACAAAUUGUCCCCAGAUGACAUUUUGAGACAGCAGAACAAAAUGUGUUUGGCUCUUCCCUACCCUCUCCCUCUUUUAAAGAGAAAUAGGACUCAGCCCUUGAAAGGGACCAUCUGGGCGUCUAAGUCACAGGUGCGAAGGUUUUAGGACUGGGAGGUGAGCAAUUCAGCACCUCCCCCCUCCUCCCCGUCUGCCUCCCCUCCCCAUCCAGCGGAGGAAAGGCAGGGAGGACCUGGGGGAAGCAGCGCUGGAAUCUCCUGCGUGCCCGCGCGUGCCCGUUCCCCUAGUACUGUCUCUAUUCCCAGCCACUGGGGUGGGAUUUGGCACAAUGACACGCCAUAAAGUCCAAUCUAUCGAACCCAAUUGAAUUGAAAGGCACGGUGGAGUCAGAUGAGGGGUCUGAUUUCCUCCCCCUCAUGUUUGUUCUCAGCCCGCUGUGUGGCCUUGAGCAACGGCUGCCGCCUCUGAGCUGUUUCCGCAUUUGUACAGAGAGCACCAGAAAACUUGGUCUGCGGGGACAUUAUGCAGACCCAGUGAACUGAAAUCGGCAAGGCAUUUAGCUCUGGGCCGGGCCUUUUUAAUUCUUACCCUUUGGCUGCAGUGGUGGGAAAGCAAAUGUUUGCCAGGUAGGGGGAGGUGGGUGGAGCUGAUGGUGGCCCCUCGCCAGCCAGAGAGGACUUUGAGCUUGCCCCGGAGUGCCAGGAGGGAGCCACUGAAGGUUCUGCAGCGAGGGAGGGGGCCAGAUCCUGGGAGGGGCCGGGAUCCUCGGCCCUCACCCAGAUCCAAAACCCCGCCUCUGGUGUUCUCUCUUCCUCCAAUGCACCCCCUCCCACAGCCCAGGGCCACAGCUCUGCUCCCACCAAGACCGAGUCUGGGAGAACAGCAGAGUGAGCCCCAGGACAAAGCCUAACUAAGGCUAUGCCUGAGCCCAGGCUUGAACCCCUACUCUGAGCCCCCCUCACUGGGUGUUUUGGAUUCCUCUGGGCCUCAGCCUUCUCCCUGCAAAGUGGGGCGACAACAGCGACCUCACGGGGUGGUGGGGAUGGUUAGUUGAGAUAAUAUGUAAAAGCACCUGGCGGCAUGCCUGCUGUACAGGUGGAGUUCAGUGUACGGUGCCAUUAACUGAGAAAGCGGACAGGGGAUCCAAAGGGAGAGAAUGAGGAUCAGAGACGGGGAAGAAUGACACACGGGCCCUUUGCCUCUCUGGAUGGUCCACCUGCAGCCAAGGAAAAAGCCCUUUGGGAGGAGGGGGUGAUUGGGGGGGCAGCUAUUGGGUAAGAGAGGAGGUCAUCCCUGGCCCGCUUCCCUCCUCUACUUCUACCUCCCGCCCAGCUUGGUCACCCAGUUUAGGGUGACAGGGCUGGGCAUGGUGGACCAGCAGCAAUCCUCCAGAUUCCAGAACUGGGCCUCCUGCAAAAGGUGGGUGAGGGUGUAAGGUGCUUCCAGGUGAUAAGAGAGCUGCAGGUGUCGGGCCAUGGGAGCUGGGAUUCCCCAUCCAUCACCCAUCAGGGCCCCAAGCCCAGCCCACCAGGCUUAACUGGAAACCCGAGGCUGCUCCAUUUGCAGUGUGGGUCUGCGUGCGAGAAAGCUGGUAACACUGGCUGAGACCGGUUCACUCUCACCCACAGGCCAGCUGGGCCCUCCCCAGUGGCUGGGCACCUGAGCAGGUGUGUGUGUGUGGAGGGGGGGGGGCUACAAGCUGUCACUUCUAAAUAUAGAGCCUGGCAGCCUGGGAGUCAGCCAGGUGCAGCUGCCACAUGGCCCCCCAAACUGGCUGAUACGCAUGUGCCCGCCAGUUCUGGGCCUGCACAGACACACAUCAAAACUGCCUCACACAGACCCCCAGGGACCCACGAAUACCCCCAAAGACACACACUCAGCUUGGCAUGUACACGUCCCCCCAAAGACACACACUCAGCUUGGCAUGUACACGUCCCUGUCCUUGUUGAGGCCCCUUAUUCACACACACCCUCUCCCCACACUCAUACUCUGCAACGCACACUGACACCAACCGGGCAGCCCCUGCUUGAACAACAGCCUCCCGAGGGCGGCAUCCCCCGUUCUUGUCCACUGCUGUCUCCUCUGCCUGUAACCGUGUCCAGCACACACCAGGUGCCCAGAAACGUUUGCUCUCUGAAUGAAUGCACACACACACUCACACACACACACACAUUCUGUAAUAAUUACCCCCACUCUCACCCGAUCCCUGCCCCCCUGUGCUGGGUCUACUAGGCCCUACCGAGGACAAGACCAGAAGGCCUGUCCUCCUCUGGCCUGGCCAAUCCCCCAUAGCCAGAGUCCAAGCCAGGCUGAGGACCUGAGCAGGAGGGUGGAGAGGGCAGCCCAGGGAAAGAAGUAGCUUCGAACCCCUGUUUAGGAGGAUGUGGGAAUCAUUGUUUGCUACAGGACAAACCUCCCUGGAGGAGCCACCGCACCACGCUGGAGUUCUGGGUUGGGCCACAUCCCCAGAAAGCCACCAGGGGAGGGGAACACGUGACCCCUAUAAGGCCCUCCCCAGCCCCCUCCUCUGAAGGAGUGCCCCAUUUUAGGUGAUUCCACCCCAUCUAGGAGCCCUCAGCUCUGCCCCCAUAGUGCUUGGGCUGGGCUUCCCACAGCCUGCACAUGGCUGUAACAGAGUGACACUUCAGGGGGAGUUCCCGUUGUAGCUCCGUAGGUUAAGAACCUGAUUAGUAUCCAUGAGGGUACAGGUUCAAUCCCCAGCCUCGCUCAGUUCACAGAUGUGGCUUGGAUCCGGUGUUACUCUGGCUGUGGCUGGCAGGUGCAGCUCCAAUUCAACCCCUAGGCUGGAAACUUCCAUAUGCUAAGGUGUGCCCUAAAAAGAAAAAAAAAAAAAAAAAGGAAAAAAAUAAAAAAGAAGGGGGGUGGUGGUCAGGGAGGACUCCCUGGAGGAGAGGAGCCUUGUACAGUGAGAGACAGGAGGGCCUUCUGGGAAGAUGGCUGGAAGAGGCAUCUGAGCAUCUCUGACUCCAGGACUGCUGAGGGAGCAUCGUGACUGUGCUGGGACCUCACAAUUCCCAUGAGAUGAAGCGGAGGCUGAUUGGGCAGGCUGAGCACCAGGGAUGAGGAGGGGAUGCUGUGAUCCCAGAGCGACUGAAGGUCGGGUGAGAUUUAUAGUCAGAGCCUGCAUCAGUAGACUAGAGAAAAAGGUGACUGAGGGGGGCAAGCUGAUAAAGGGGAGGACUAGGGACAGGACUAAGGACAGAUGAGUGGCCAAUGGAUGGACAUAUGCAUAGGCUAGCAGAUGGACUGAAAGACACAGGAGCAUGAAUAGACAAAUGGAAAGACAGAAGUGGGUGGCUGGCCACUGGGGUCACUCUCUGAAGCCCCACAAGGGCCUGAAGACCCAGCUACUUCCCCUGCAGACCACUCCCACCCCAGCUCCAUUCCCUGUCUCCUUUCCCAGACCAGGUUCCCAGGGAGGCAGACACCUGCUUGGCCUGAUGCCCAGAGAUGCACUUUCCAGCCAACUACAAGCCCAGAAAUGGAAUCACCUCCUGGUGUUCUUACCUGUUGCAGGUGUGCAUAGGAUGGGGUGGGGUCAGCGCCAUAUCUAUGGGCUAAUACCUCCAAAAAUAGCCUCCCAGCGACUGGGGAGUACCCCAAUCAUGGCUCACGUGCGCGCGCGCGCGCACACACACACACACACACACACACACACACAGCCGCUGGCAGAAUCAACUCCAUAGACACUUGAUGCACACACAGGUGCAUUCACUGACACACUGGCACCCAAACACCAGUCCCCCAAACACCACAACUACCAAACUGCAUAGCAACAGAAUGAGCCAACCACAUGGUCUACAAUGUAUGGGGCCACCUGGCCCCUCAGAUACACCCCAACACCAUGCUGUCAUUAAUCUACAAAUGUGCAUUGAACAGCUUCUGGACCCAACCCUAUGGGAUUUCGGAGCACCUUCAACAGCUCUUCCCAGAGAAAGCUGGACCCACAGGGUCCUUCAUGCUUCACCCUCCAACCCUGCCUCCUACCCCAGCACCUCACAUUUGCCCUCCGUCCAGCAACAUCUGACACCUUAGGGGGGUUCUCUCCUUCUCAUAUGCUUGGAUCCACAUUAUUCCUGCAACUGGGAACCCUUUCCCCAUUUCACUCCUGAACCCCACAUACCAGACCUUUCAUUCAAGACAGAUCUCUGCAUACCUAAAGUUUAACAGUGGGACACACAACAGGGCCUAAAUGUUUGUUGACUGACUGACCAACUUACCAGCUGGGUGAAAUCAUUAGGAAUAUAAAUCAGCUAAGAAUAGUGCAUAAUUAAAGUUCCCAUCAUGGCUCGGUGGUUAACAAACCCGACUAGUAGCCAUGAAGACGCGGGUUCAAUCCCUGGCCUUGCUCAGUGGGUUAAGGAUCCUACGUUGCUGUGAGCUGUGGUGUAGCUCACAGACAUGGCUCGGAUCC
rnacentral:lncRNA from 1 species